rnacentral:snRNA from 1 species
GUGCUGGCUCCAGCAGCACAUAUACAAAAAUUGGAACAAUACAGAGAAGAUUAGCAUCGCCCCUGCACAAGGAUGAUGCAUAAAUUCAUGGAGGGUUCCAUAUUUUU